UAGGGAAUAUUGCACAAUGGGGAAGACCCUGAUGCAGCGACGCCGCGUGAAGGAAGAAGUAUCUCGGUAUGUAAACUUCUAUCAGCAGGGAAGACAAUGACGGUACCUGACUAAGAAGCCCCGGCUAACUACGUGCCAGCAGCCGCGGUAAUACGUAGGGGCGAAGCGUUAUCCGGAUUUACUGGGUGUAAAGGGAGCGUAGACGGAUCUGCAAGUCUGGAGUGAAAGCCCGGGGCUCAACCCCGGCAGCGGCUUUGGAAACUGUAGGUCUAGAGUGCCGGAGAGGUAAGCGGAAUUCCUAGUGUAGCGGUGAAAUGCGUAGAUAUUAGGAGGAACACCAGUGGCGAAGGCGGCUUACUGGACGGUAACUGACGCUGAGGCACGAAAGCGUGGGGAUCGAACAGGAUUAGAUACCC
rnacentral:rRNA from 1 species